CUCAGUGUGUGCCUGGGACCUGCGGAGGCCAGCAGAGGGCGUGAACUCCUUUGGAACUGGACUUAUAGGUGAAGUUUCACUUCUGGAGUGUACUAUCCUCCAUCGGCAACUUCUGUUUUCCAAAUCCUCGUUAAAGCUGGAGACGCUCCGACGCAAAGACUCGGUCCGUAAUCCAGCAUUCAAGCUCCCAUGUGGGUCCCGGGAGUCAAACCUGGGUCUUCAGCAAGAGCAGGAAGUGAGUGCUCUUAACCUCAGAGCCAUCUCUCCAGCCCAACUGUUUCUUUCCCUUUUCAGAGCUCCCUACUAGAUAACCUGCCAAACUUGUCUGCAGCAGAGGCAGCACCUUAUUCUCCUGCAUUGAUGGAUCGGGGUUCUAAGCUCACAUUCUCUCAACGAUUGUCUCUCAUAGUUACAGCCAGCCUAGUGAGCAGAAAGCUAUAUUCUGUUAUGAUGUCUUGUGUUACCCAGGCUGGCAGCCAAGGAUACCAUUGAAUCCUGACCCUCCAGACUCUAUCUCCCAAGUGCUAGAAUUACAGGGAUGAACCUCCAGGACCAGCUGUAAGAAAGUCUCUCCACCAUUUGUUUCAGACCCAAAGAAAUCAACCUGGGGAAUGGCGUGAGUCCUGCUCCUAAAGAGUUUGGUUUGUGAGCGCCAGUACUGUGUGGCUCACACGCUAACUCCAGCUCCAGGGCAUCUGAUGCCCUCUGUUGGCUUCCAUUGGCACAGGCACACAUACUUAUAUAGACCUACACACACAUAAG
rnacentral:lncRNA from 1 species